UUUUGAUUGGCUGUGCUAUAAACGGAAAUAACCCCUGACAUUACGGGAAGUUAAAGUGCGACACGUCUGCAUCAGGGAUUUGCCGUUGUGUAUAAUCACACCUGCUUGUGUAUUUCGUCUAAAUAAUCAAGUUUAGGAACCAUCAAAUUUACAAACAGGAUGAUUACUGACGUCCAGCUGGCCAUCUUUGCCAAUGCCCUAGGAGUGUCUCUGUUCCUCCUAGUGGUUCUGUAUCACUAUGUGUCGGUCAACAACACAAAGAAAUCAGAGUAGU